rnacentral:rRNA from 1 species
CCGACGGUGAGAGACGAAAGCUGGGGGAGCAAACCGGAUUAGAUACCCGGGUAGUCCCAGCCGUAAACGAUGUGCGUUAGGUGUAUCGGUGACCACGAGUCACCGAGGUGCCGAAGAGAAAUCGUGAAACGUACCGCCUGGGAAGUACGGUCGCAAGGCUGAAACUUAAAGGAAUUGGCGGGGGAGCACCACAACAGGUGGAGCCUGCGGUCUAAUCGGACUCAACGCCGGGAAACUCACCAGAUAAGACAGCUGAAUGAUAGUCGGGCUGAAGACUCUACUUGACUAGCUGAGAGGAGGUGCAUGGCCGUCGUCAGUUCGUACUGUGAAGCAUCCUGUUAAGUCAGGCAACGAGCGAGACCCACGCCAACAGUUGCU